UCCGGCUUAUCACCGGCAGUUUCCUUAAAGUGCUCAGCCAAACCUGCUAGCAAUUAAGGACGAGGGUUGCGCUCGUUGCGGGACUUAACCCAACAUCUCACGACACGAGCUGACGACAGCCAUGCAGCACCUGUGCGGGAUCCGGCCGAACCGACAAAAUCAUCUCUGAUUUCUUAAUCCCCAUGUCAAAGGCUGGUAAGGUUCUGCGCGUUGCGUCGAAUUAAACCACAUACUCCACCGCUUGUGCGGGCCCCCGUCAAUUCCUUUAAGUUUUAAUCUUGCGACCGUACUCCCCAGGCGGAAUGCUUAGUGCGUUAGCGACGACACUGAAACUAUAAGUCCCAACAUCUAGCAUUCAUCGUUUACAGCGUGGACUAC
rnacentral:misc_RNA from 1 species